CCGGAAUGUCCAUUAUUUGGGGAAUGGCUGAAUAAAGUAUGAUGGAGCAGUCAAAAACUGCAAAGAUAACAACAGAUCAGACUCCCUGGUAUUCAUCUGCAUCCUUCAAGGAUAACAGAUUUCCAAUGUUGCUGGUAGAUGGUGGAUUAGAGGCAGUCACCCAGCUGAAUUCUCCCAGCAUUCCCUUCCAAACAACAUUAAAAUAAAGCCUCAAAUCAAAUUUUGGAGCAACAUCAUCAACAAAAAUUCAGUUUGAGAUAUUUUUCCAACCUAAGAAAAUCUUAGCAGUAGACAGGAAAAGUCUCUGAACCAGCCUGGAGGUCUGGUAGGUAUCUAUCCAGAGACUACACACUCAGUGGCAGCACCAGUGGCCACAGCAGCAACAGCUUCAGAAGUUAACAGGCCAGAAAUAGUUUAGGGGUCAGUCAACUGAUCAAAAAGAGAAGACCCUUUGCUGGCACUGGAU